rnacentral:rRNA from 1 species
AGUGAACGCUGGCGGUAGGCCUAACACAUGCAAGUCGAACGGCAGCACAGUAAGAGCUUGCUCUUACGGGUGGCGAGUGGCGGACGGGUGAGGAAUACAUCGGAAUCUACUUUUUCGUGGGGGAUAACGUAGGGAAACUUACGCUAAUACCGCAUACGACCUACGGGUGAAAGCAGGGGAUCUUCGGACCUUGCGCGAUUGAAUGAGCCGAUGUCGGAUUAGCUAGUUGGCGGGGUAAAGGCCCACCAAGGCGACGAUCCGUAGCUGGUCUGAGAGGAUGAUCAGCCACCCUGGAACUGGGACACGGUCCAGACUCCUACGGGAGGCAGCAGUGGGGAAUAUUGGACAAUGGGCGCAAGCCUGAUCCAGCCAUACCGCGUGGGUGAAGAAGGCCUUCGGGUUGUAAAGCCCUUUUGUUGGGAAAGAAAAGCAGCAGGUUAAUACCCCGCUGUUCUGACGGUACCCAAAGAAUAAGCACCGGCUAACUUCGUG